AGAGUUUGAUCCUGGCUCAGAACGAACGCUGGCGGCGUGCCUAACACAUGCAAGUCGAACGAGAAAAUUUCCUUCGGGGAAUGAGUAAAGUGGCGCAAGGGUGAGUAACACGUGAAUAAUCUGCCUUCGAACCUGGGAUAACUUGACGAAAGUUAAGCUAAUACCGGAUAAGACCACGCUUCACAAGAAGUGCGGCCAAAGGGGUCUCAAACCCUGUUUGAAGAUGAGUUCGCGUACCAUUAGCUUGUUGGUGAGAUAACAGCCCACCAAGGNAACGAUGNUGGUUAGCCGGCCUGANAAGGGUGAUCGGCCACACUGGAANNUGANACCGGNCCNANUCUUCUGCGAGGGGCAGCGGGGGAUAUUUUUGCGGAGGGGAAAAAGCCCUGACGCACCACCGCCGGGGAACGAUGAAGCCCUUUCGGGUCUAAAAACUUUGUGAAGGGGGAAAAAAAAACACUGGGGCUGCCCCCACUGGAGGACGCCCCGGCUAACUUCGUGCCAGCAGCCGCGGUAAUACCAAAGGGGGCAAGCGUUGUUCGGAAUUAUUGGGCGUAAAGCGUGUGUAGGUGGUUGUUCAAGUCAGACGUGUAAGCCCUCGGCUCAACC
rnacentral:rRNA from 1 species